rnacentral:rRNA from 1 species
CUAAAGAAUAUUCCGCAAUGGGGGGAAACCCUGACGGAGCGACGCCGCGUGGAUGAUGAAGGCCGGAAGGUUGUAAAAUCCUUUUGUGAGUGAGGAAUAAGCAGGGCAAGCAAAGGCCGUGCGGUGACUGUAGCUCAUGAAUAAGCACCGGCUAAUUACGUGCCAGCAGCCGCGGUAACACGUAAGGUGCGAGCGUUGUUCGGAAUCAUUGGGCGUAAAGGGCAUGUAGGCGGAACUGCAAGCCCGGUGUGAAAACCCUGAGCUCAACUCAGGAACUGCGCCGGGAACUGCAGAACUGGAGUCACUGAGGGGAAACCGAUUCCAGGUGUAGGGGUGAAAUCUGUAGAUAUCUGGAAGAACACCAAUGGCGAAAGGCAGGUUUCCAGCAGAUGACUGACGCUGAGGUGCGAAGGUGCGGGGAGCAAACAGGAUUAGAUACCCUGGGUAGU